AUGCUUUCAGAGUUCUUAAGGAUGAUGCCUGGGUUUGCAUGCUCAUAUGUCAAACAUGCCGCCCUCAAGCUUUUUUAUGAUGUUGGCACAUUAUCCAUCUGGUG